rnacentral:rRNA from 1 species
UAACCUCUGUGAAUUAUCACAGUUUCCUGACCUGACGAAGGCUGGAAAAAUCAUUAACAGAAUAUAUUUGAGUUGAAAUAAAUUGUUCAUACUCGUUUUGAAAUCGACAUUAGCAGUCAUUUAUGACUGGUUGAUGAAGAUUAAGAAAUGAGUUACUAGCGAUUAAACUGAAUCAAGCGUUUUGGUAUAUGAAUCUAAUUGAAGCUGUACAGUGCUUAAGUGCACAAACGCCAACUGUAUGAGAGUGAUGAGAAAUCAUCAUAAUCUGUUGCUCAUCCUACUUGUAGGGAUGGACGACUGUUUGGGGUUGUAUAGUCAAGUAAUUAAGUGCAUGUGGUGGAUGCCUUGGCAGUCAGAGGCGAUGAAAGACGUAAUAGCCUGCGAUAAGCUCCGGGGAGGCGGCAAAUAUCCUGUGAUCCGGAGAUUUCUGAAUGGGGAAACCCACUUACCAUAAGGUAGGUAUCGCAACAUGAAUACAUAGUGUUGCGAGGCGAACGAGG